rnacentral:lncRNA from 1 species
CGCACACAUGCACACACAUGCACGUACACACACACUAUUCCUAAUGUCCCAGCGCUUCCCUAUCUUGAAUAUCAAUUCACUAUUCUUCAGAGCAUUGCUACUCAGAGUGCAGGCUGAGGACUGGCAGCAUCGGUAUCACCUGGGAGCUUGUUUGAAUUGGUCCCAUCUCAGACCAUCCGAAUUAGAAUCUGCAUUUCCCAAGCCCUGGGGGACUCUGUUACACAUUCAAGCCUGAGACGCACUGCUUUAGAGGCCUCCAACGCCAGACGGCUCAGUGUCAAAACACCACCAACAACACACAUCCUAUGGAAAGUGCUACCAGGUGACAUCUCUUCCCUAUUUUGGCUCCAACACUGUCCCCUUUAGCACACAGCUGGAAUCUAAGAUCCGAAGGAGAAGUUUCUUCUGUGGCUUACGAAGAGAUUGAGAGGCUGGAGACAGGUCAUUGUGAGGCUGCCUGUGAGCGCACUCAACGAGGGAGGAAAUACAGGCAAAUUAACUCUGGGGAGGACCGGGGAUGAGGGGCCUCCACGCCUUGUUCCACUUCGGAAGACGGUGCGAUCUCAUUUUGCCCUGUGCGAUUCCUUAGGUAUAACAUCCAAUUGCUCCUGUUGGAAGGGACACUCUGCAUGUAAAUGGCAGAGACACUCUGGUUCACUCAAAUGUAUUGUUCCUGAAAGAAAGGAAGUGGUCUGCAGAGAAGAUACUCAGCUAGAAGAUUCCUCUGUGAGGCUGCUAGUACUUCUCCAGCAGACCAAGCCAGGAGAGCUUUCUCAAAGAUUCUACCAGAUUUUCCAGGGGUUCUCAAAGAUUGUCUGCAAACCAGCUCUGAUAAAUGAUUGCAGCUUCUUGAGUCUAUAGAGAGAGACCUUUAUGCUCUCUCUACUAGGAAGUAAUGCUUUUUUCCCUGAGAUUAUGUUCUUUUUAAAAUUUUUAUGUGCUUUUAAAAUCUCAUGUGUGUAUUAACAUGUCCUUUCUUUAUAGAAUGUUGAAGACAAUAUAUAAAUUUCUGAAAAGAUUUGAAUGAUUUGAUUUGGCAAAAUAAAGAAUUGCCAAUCCUACAUAGAGCUCCAUACACCAAUUUUUAAAAAUAAUUUUAUUGCUUCACAAAAUCUGGGAACCACUGGAUAUAUGAAGUAUCUCUUUUAGCUAAAGCAAAGUCAACUCUCACCCUCGAAAAAAGUUCAUUUUUUGAUCUGUUUUUAUUUUUCUGUGGCAAAAAGUGCUUUUGUGAUGCCUCUAUGAAUAAAAGACUCAUUUUCCUAAGUGAUGCAUCUGCUUUUAAUGUCUUAAAUGCUGGGAUAGAACAGACAUAUCUUCCCUGGUCUGGGUUUUCUUAAAUAGCCAGAAGUCUUCGUGAUGAAGACAAGCAAGCAUCUAAUAGAGAAAUAACUCCAAGACAAAGUGCCGUGGCUGCACGAUGUCGCCUCCCUGACAACCUAUAAAUGGACCAUAUUGAUGAAGUGAACAGGACUCUCUCUGGUCAUUUUCAACUAGAAACUAAUAAUCCCCGUCAUGAUAUCAGGCAUGCAAUAACCUCGGUUAAGACUAGGUUCAUCAAAUAAAUCACUCAGGAAUUUCUCUAUUUCUUUCUCUGGACACAUUGCACAUCUGCUCAAUGAAAGGAAGAAAGAAGCAAUAUUUCUUUGAUCAGGAAUUUUUUUUUAAUAUUCUUGUAUCCAUCCCUUGGGAUACUAUCUUUUCAAGUGGGUGCAGAUAAUACAUCACUUUCUAAUGAAUGUGGAGAAUUUAUGAAUUUAAGCUAUAAAACCAAAUAUGAGGGAUUUUAGUUUAUCUCAAUCUAUAUUUUACACUGUCAUGAGAAAAUAAACCGGACCACA